UUUCAGUUUCCUUUACACUGACAUUUCUCUCUUUGUCUAUCUAGGGUUACCUCGGUGGAAGCCAACAAUCUUCUACAGUUGGAGCAGUUGGACGGUCGACCACCGAAAGCCCUGACGCCCUACACUUCAGUGAAGCCCAAUAGACAAAGACCAUCGACUGUCCGAGCCCCCCAGGAAGUAUCCCAUCCACCAGAACAAGUGAGUUCGGAUCAGUCUGAUUCUCUGUGCUCUAAGUCAGAGGAGGACCAGCUUGAGGACCUAGGGGUUCUGCCCAACACCCAGAUGUUACAUCAUCUACAGCUACUGUUGUUGUCAUGUUGUCAAUAUCUGCUAAGAAAGUGUUUUGUUCUAUCAUACUGGGCACAUAAUAUGUGAAAUACACAG